AAAGUUUAGAGUCAAGAAAACUAAUUAAAAAACAGGGAGUUUCCGAAAAUCCAUAAGAGUAGGAUAAAC
rnacentral:ncRNA from 1 species